CAACUUUUGGCAACGGAUCUCUUGGCUCUCGCAACGAUGAAGAACGCAGCGAAAUGCGAUAAGUAAUGUGAAUUGCAGAAUCUCGUGAAUCAUCGAAUCUUUGAACGCAUCUUGCGCCCGUUAGGGCAUGCCUGUUUGAGUAUCGUUUAAAUCCUCACUC
rnacentral:rRNA from 1 species